UGCAGGACGCCUUUAAAGUAAUUCAGCCGCAUUCUAUGAAUGCCACAGUCGGUGAAGAUGUCAUUUUGAACUGCACCUUCAAAUCCAGUUCCACGGUCAAUAUCUCAAACGUCACCCAGCCGUAUAGAGGAAGACUCUAUAGAGGAAGACUCUGCUAUUCAGCAGCGCGAACUCUUUCAAGGCGAAAGAUGCGUCCCUAAAGAUUGUCAAUGUUAGCGUGUCGGAUUCUGGAAACUAUACCUGUCAGGUGGAAGCUCUUGGAGACAGUGCAGGCUGUGGAUCAGGCACUUUGCUCGUUGUUGAAGCGGAAGAAGACAUCCCUCAGAACUUUGUUUAUCAGAUGAAGAUCUUGUAUAUGCUGCUAUAGACUUGGAAGAGCCCACCCAUUGCCUAUCAGAUGUGAACGUGAGCCCUGUCAUAUAUUCAGCUUUGAGGGAAGUCCAGUGAACCAGCAGUGAUGGCAUUCAGAACACAUUUCUAUGAAAGUUUAGUAUUGUACUAGACGUCACCCACCCUGUUAGGUCACAAGGUUGAUUUGUUGUUCAGUGAAUAUUUUCUGACUGUGCCCCGUUUCGAGUUUAUAAAAUGGACCACAGUAUGUUUGAAGUAAAAAAGGGAAGAAAAGAAGAAAAACCUGUAUCUACGGUUAAACAUG